GCUAUAGUAAUUUAAUUAAAAUUUUGGUCUUGUAAACCAAGAAUAAAGAUGUCAACCAUCCUUCUAGAGCU
rnacentral:tRNA from 1 species